rnacentral:tRNA from 1 species
UCAGUGGUUAGUUCAGUGGUAGAACACCACCUUGCCAAGGUGGGGGUCGCGGGUUCGAAUCCCGUCGUUCGC